AUACGGAGGGUGCAAGCGUUAAUCGGAAUUACUGGGCGUAAAGCGUACGUAGGCGGUUAUUUAAGUCAGGUGUGAAAGCCCCGGGCUUAACUUGGGAACUGCAUUUGAAACUGGGUAACUAGAGUUUAGUAGAGGGGAGUGGAAUUUCAGGUGUAGCGGUGAAAUGCGUAGAGAUCUGAAGGAACACCAGUGGCGAAGGCGACUCCCUGGACUAAAACUGACGCUGAGGUACGAAAGCGUGGGUAGCAAACAGGAUUAGAAACCCGGGUAGUCC
rnacentral:rRNA from 1 species